UCCUUGUUUUAUUUGGUAAAAAUUGUCUUCGGUCUUUUUUAUUUGCCUCUUUCCUCUUUUCUCUUGAUAAACUAGGUAAUAAGAUUAUUAAUGCCUAACAGAAUUGAUUGCCAUUGUUCACUUAAGCUCUACAGGGACUAUCCAAUUUAUGAGAACCUUUUCUUAUAGUUCUUAAAAGUAAUGAUAUAAAAUUAACUGAAAAUUUGCAGGAUGUUAUCCUAUUAUAAAUUGAUAUAAUCUUAUUACUUUUACGAUGAAUUAACCUGUCUAAUGUUCAUUGUAGAUCCUUGGAUAUGGCUUGUUGAUUAUUAGGUCUUUGGCAGACAAUAUAUAAUUAACUCAUGGGUGGUUUUUGAUUUUUAAAAAGCACAAUCAAAUUUGAGUGUAAUUAUUAGUAUGUUUAGAUGUGUACUCUAAAUUCACUAAAUUAAACUAGAAAACAUAGCUAAGUCUCUUCGCAUGGUAGUUUUCUACAAACAGAAGUUUUGACCAACACAUAGGCAAUCAGAUGCAAGUACUCUAUUAGCAGAAAGUAUCAAAGUAUCCAAUCAUGCCCAUGCAAAGCAUGACUUUUAAAUCUAGCAUGAAUCGAAACUAAAACUUUUAAUCUCUCUAAAAGCAUUAUAAACCUUUUAAAACACCUUUAGAUUUUUAAACCUGUAUGCCAAUUAAUUUGGUUUUCAAGUAACCUAGAUGAUUCUUGUAAUAUGUCUGGAAUUAGUUAUCAAAUUGAUUAUGAAGAAGAUUGGACAAGAGUAGAAUGUAGUGCUUAUGCUAGCUUAUGCAUUUUAGCAUGUCUAUUUAUUUUAACUUUCCAUAUUAUCAUAAAGAUGUAACAAAUAAGAUUUAAGAUUCUAGAGUGUGUACAGAAAGUCAUCAUUGGAUCGUGUCUGCUGGAAAUAGUGUAACAUCCUAAAAUAAACAAAUGACACAUCAAGUUUGAAUACUAUACUUAUAAAUUGAUAUUACCAUCAUUAUAAAAGGAUGUCCCAGUGCACAAUGCUCCCACAAUUGCGGGAUUUGGAUAGGGUCAGAUAUACAUAGUCUUACCCGUGCGUGUGAAGAGGUUGUUUCUGUGUUUUGAAGCCAUAAAAUCUAGGUUACAAUGGAGCAAACUUAUUAUUGCGCCAAGGUCCGUCCUCUGAUAUUUCUGUCGUUAUAUCAUUUUUUUAUGUCUAGAAAAUAGAUGUUAUUGAAUAAUUUCAAUAACAACAAUAUUUUUAUAACUAUAUUAUAUGGUUGAUUAUGGAUCUACUUGCAACCAAAACCCAAUAAGAAAUCCUGAACAUAGAUCUUAGUUCUAGUCUAGAUUGAAGACUUGUUUCCACUUUCCCUUUUGAGGUUUAGGGGCUAAAGUUUUGUUGAUCAUUGGUUAUUUGUUAAUUAUCUAUAUUAUGCUAAGAAGAGUAUUUUAACUUUUGUAGCCUCCUCUUAUACAUUCCAUUUCUCGGCUUUUUGGAUGAAAAUAUUCUCAACUUAAUUCUAAAAUAAAAAAGAAAAAUGUAUUCAGAGGAAGAUAAGAACUCAACUUAACUCAACCAAGCCUUAAUCCCAUAUUAGUUGGGGCUUGCUACAUGAAUCCAUUUUCUUCAUUCUGCUCUAUUUAGGGCCAUAGAAAGAUGUAGCAAUAUCAAGCCCUUAUUGCUUCAUCUCAUGUGAUUUUUAGUCUAACUCUACCUCUCUUUCCUUCUAUACAUGUUAAACCACUCCUUCACACUGGUGCAUCUCUUGGCCUACGUUGUACAUGUCUAAACUAUUUAACUCAUCCUUCGUUCAUUUUGUUCUCAAUUGGUGCUACUUCUACGCAUAUCAAAUCCCACUUUCAUAUUGGCGCAACAUUUGGCCUAUGUCGUACAUGUCUAAACGAGCUCAUUCUUAUUCUCGGGCUAGUGCUUAUCCUCGAGCUGAAUUUUAUUCUCGGGCUGGUGUUUACCCCCGAGGGUGCUUACCUCCGAGCUCGUUCUUAUUCUCGGGCUGGUGCUUAUCCUCGAGCUGGAUUAUAUUCUCGGGCUGGUGCUUACCCCCGAGCUGGAUCUUAUUCUCGGGAUGGUGCUUACCCUCGAGCUCAUUUCUAUUCUCGGGCUGGUGCUUACCCCCGAGCUCGUUUCUACUCUCGAGCUGGUGCUUACCCCGAGCUCGUUUCUACUCUCGAGUUGGUACUCAUCCUCGAGCAGAUUUCUGCUCUCGAACUGGGUUUUACCCUCAAACUGGUCUCACUUAUUCUCCGACGCCGCUCCGCAGGUCGGCCUCGGGGUGCCCUACGGAAUCAAAUGAAGAGCUACAAGCUCAUUCGACUGCGAGGACAUCUCUAAAAUCGGGAAUAAGAACUUAAUGCCAAGUACUAAAUGAAACGAGUUUAAACGUUUCGUUGGACCUCAAAAAGCAAAGCGUUGGAGAAAAGUGCGCUUCAUUAAUAUUAAGGGGCAAGGACCGAGUACAAAAGAAACCGACCUUGAGGUCGGGUUGAAUACAGAAGGCUCGAGUGGCCGACUUUAUAAAAAGAGAAAUAAAAAGUCAGCACAGUCAACUUGAAUGACCUCAA
rnacentral:lncRNA from 1 species